rnacentral:miRNA from 1 species
GACUUUCCCCCUCCCUGCAAGGGAGGGGGCAGGGGGCGGGUCGUCGCCGCUGGCGAUCCGCUCUGCGAGGCUCUUCACCCACCCCCGGCCCCUCCCUUGCAGGGAGGGGGGAAGAA